rnacentral:tRNA from 1 species
GGUGACUCAGUGGUAGAGUGCUUGCCUUGCAUGCAUGAAGCCCUGGGUUCGAUUCCUCAGCACCA